GCUGAAUCCUAAAGGACACGUACUGCACUCAUGAAGACAUUAUUUCACGAGAAACUCCUGUCUAGAAAAACUCUUCCCACACUGGAAGCAAUGGUACGGCUUCUCUCCGAUGACCUGUUAAUGAAGCCUGAUGGGAAAAGCUCUUCCCACACUCUGAGCAGAGGU